rnacentral:rRNA from 1 species
AGAUGGAUUCGUGCUCGAAAGAGAGCCAUAACACAGGUGCUGCAUGGCUGUCGUCAGCUCGUGUCGUGAGAUGUUGGUUAAGUCCCGCAACGAGCGCAACCCUUGUCAUUAGUUGCUACAUUUGUUGGGCACUCUAAUGAGACUGCCGGUGACAAACCGGAGGAAGGUGGGGAUGACGUCAAGUCCUCAUGGCCCUUAUAGGUGGGGCUACACACGUCAUACAAUGGCCGGUACAAAGGGUCGCAAACCCGCGAGGGGGAGCCAAUCCAUCAAAGCCGGUCGUAGUCCGGAUCGCAGUCUGCAACUCGACUGCGUGAAGUCGGAAUCGCUAGUAAUCGUGGAUCAGCAUGUCACGGUGAAUACGUUCCCGGGUCUU